rnacentral:rRNA from 1 species
GACGAACGCUGGCGGCGUGCUUAACACAUGCAAGUCGAACGGAAAGGCCCUGCUUUUGUGGGGUGCUCGAGUGGCGAACGGGUGAGUAACACGUGAGUAACCUGCCCUUGACUUUGGGAUAACUUCAGGAAACUGGGGCUAAUACCGGAUAGGAGCUCCUGCUGCAUGGUGGGGAUUGGAAAGUUUCGGCGGUUGGGGAUGGACUCGCGGCUUAUCAGCUUGUUGGUGGGGUAGUGGCUUACCAAGGCUUUGACGGGUAGCCGGCCUGAGAGGGUGACCGGCCACAUUGGGACUGAGAUACGGCCCAGACUCCUACGGGAGGCAGCAGUGGGGAAUAUUGCACAAUGGGCGGAAGCCUGAUGCAGCAACGCCGCGUGCGGGAUGACGGCCUUCGGGUUGUAAACCGCUUUCGCCUGUGACGAAGCGUGAGUGACGGUAAUGGGUAAAGAAGCACCGGCUAACUACGUGCCAGCAGCCGCGGUGAUACGUAGGGUGCGAGCGUUGUCCGGAUUUAUUGGGCGUAAAGGGCUCGUAGGUGGUUGAUCGCGUCGGAAGUGUAAUCUUGGGGCUUAACCCUGAGCGUGCUUUCGAUACGGGUUGACUUGAGGAAGGUAGGGGAGAAUGGAAUUCCUGGUGGAGCGGUGGAAUGCGCAGAUAUCAGGAGGAACACCAGUGGCGAAGGCGGUUCUCUGGGCCUUUCCUGACGCUGAGGAGCGAAAGCGUGGGGAGCGAACAGGCUUAGAUACCCUGGUAGUCCACGCUGUAAACGGUGGGUACUAGGUGUGGGGUCCAUUCCACGGGUUCCGUGCCGUAGCUAACGCUUUAAGUACCCCGCCUGGGGAGUACGGCCGCAAGGCUAAAACUCAAAGGAAUUGACGGGGCCCCGCACAAGCGGCGGAGCAUGCGGAUUAAUUCGAUGCAACGCGUAGAACCUUACCUGGGUUUGACAUGGAUCGGGAGUGCUCAGAGAUGGGUGUGCCUCUUUUGGGGUCGGUUCACAGGUGGUGCAUGGCUGUCGUCAGCUCGUGUCGUGAGAUGUUGGGUUAAGUCCCGCAACGAGCGCAACCCUUGUUCACUGUUGCCAGCACGUUAUGGUGGGGACUCAGUGGAGACCGCCGGGGUCAACUCGGAGGAAGGUGGGGAUGACGUCAAGUCAUCAUGCCCCUUAUGUCCAGGGCUUCACGCAUGCUACAAUGGCUGGUACAGAGAGUGGCGAGCCUGUGAGGGUGAGCGAAUCUCGGAAAGCCGGUCUCAGUUCGGAUUGGGGUCUGCAACUCGACCUCAUGAAGUCGGAGUCGCUAGUAAUCGCAGAUCAGCAACGCUGCGGUGAAUACGUUCCCGGG